GGUAAUAGGAGGGAUCUCAGGCCAGCUACUUUAACUCUUCAUUUCCUAACAUAAUUUUUAUAAUAAAACUUUUUUGAAAGAGAGAGAAUGAAAUGAAGGAAAAAAGGAACACUCAGGUCAUGGUGCUUACUAGGAAUUGAAGGAAAGCAAGACCAGUUAUCAGUGAUGAUACAGAUUAGUUCAUUCCAGCAAUCCAGGAAAUAAGCGAUGUAGACAAACAACAAAGUGGCAAAAGGAUGAGAAAGGAAGUGAGAUUUAAUAAAUGCUUCAUCAUUUCAACUGACCAGUUGUAGUAACUACUAGAUGUCAACUUAAGAGAGUGAAGGAAUAAAUAAAGGAUUUCCAAUUAGAGACUUAGAAAGAUGUACAGAUGAUGUGGACUAUUUGCAAAGAUAGAGACAACAAAGAAGUGGUGUUGGGGAUGGUGAAAGUUCUUAAUAGACAACUGUGAUUAUAUUUAAAUUAAAAUGUGACUAUAUUUAAAUUCUAGUGGAAAACAACAAUUAGAGGUAUUGAAAUUGGAGAUGCAGGAAAAAUCAGGGAUAAUAAAUGGAAUGAUGUGGCUGUACUCAUUUAGAUUCCAAAAUUAAGAGGAGGAAUCAGCCUUAGAUGUGAGACAGUUGUCUUGUCCACUGUGGUAGGAAGGGAGGGAAUAAGAAUUCUCUUUUGAUGUGUUCUCUUUGAAAGCCUCCAUUUUAUCCACUCUGUUUACGAAAUAUGAUGCUUUCUUCUGAGUAUUCAAUUGCUUGAUAAACUAAAUAUUCAAAAGAUUAUGUAUAAGGAAUGAAAUCAGAAUAAGAAAGUUAGGAUAUCUUUGAGGAUGAUUCAUUCAAGUUACAGAGAAAGAAGCCAAAAGUUCUAAAUGCUGCUGCUGUGGCCCCCAAAAAACCGUUUCUCUCUAGGAAUUUUUACUCAUAAAUUCUUCCUUUACAUCAUUCUUCUAAUACUAUUGUCUUCUGUUGAGUAUGUUAAUCAAUCAGUUAAUUUUCAGAUUACUCAGUUGCAAGUUGAUUAAACUUUUUUUUUCCUACAAUAUUCUUAGCUACACUUUUGUCAUAUUAUCUCUUAGGCCAUUGACUUCUUGUGGCUCAUCCUUUCUAUUUUAGUUUUUGCUGGCCAAUUCUAUUAUUAUAGAUUCAACUUGAUGUUUCAGAAGCUCCUUAUUAACUACCAUGAUCUGUUUUUAUUUAAUCCCAGUAAAGCCAGUGCUAAUUAGUUUCACAUUAGUUCAAAAGAUGAUCAGCCUGCAAAUUUUGGUCCGAUGUAGAAACUGUUGUCAUGGCAAUGCCCAUCUCAUACAAUGUUUCUCUCUACAGGUAGAUACUCUCUUUCAUUCUGGCAGCCUCCUUCUUAGUAUCUGUUAGUAUCCUUUAAUAUGCAUGAUGGUGUUUUGUCUUUUGUCUUCAUUUUUGCUUUUGUCGUUAGAAGAGCAAGAAUUUAAUAUUGGGGAUAAGGUUAUAGGAAAAAGCCAAAGAAGAUAAAGCAGUUUAUUUCCUGUGGAUUCACUCACUUGCCCUGUAAAUUGGAAUAAAACCCCUACUAUUAGCUGAUAGAGGACAAGAAAUGAAGGGAGACAUUCUGGGAGAGAAGCUGAGCGUGGCUCGGUACAUUCAAAGAUGCUGCUGUGUCAGUGACCAAGUUUGAUCCAGGAAGCUGGUUUUCCAACUGCAGUGUGAGCUCAGAAACUCUGGCACCCAGGGGGUUAGAGGUCAGGCAAGAGCUGCGUUUGGGCUUCUAGGUCCACACAUUCAGUGGUUAGAAGGAGAAAUGAGGCUGUGUCAAGUGGAUUCUCAGACUAGUGGAGCCACACAAUGCAGAAGGACAAACUGAGUGGAUGGGAUCUGCUUCCCCAAUACAGACUGACUGGAGUCUGUAUGAAACUCCUAUGGUCUUUCACCAAAAUAACUGAGAGACACUUUGAAGAAGAGUGGUUCCUGGUGGUGAGACCAAUGUAGAGCAAACUAUCAUACUGUGGUGAUUCAAAGCAUAUGGCCUUAUAUAGGAGUCUGGUGAAAUCUGGUGAAUAUAAAAAUGUAUAGAAAAGGAAGUCCUUAUUAUAUUUUUAAGAAAUGGUUAAAAUAAAUACUUGUAAGCUCUUUAAAAUAUUAACCAAUGACAUUAUGUGGACAACAAACUCUGGGAUAUAACUGAACAUUUCGUUUAAAUGAUUUCUUUUCUCUGCCUUUAUUGUUCUUAGAUAACCUAGCUCUUUGAGAUUAGUUGAUUUUCAAAGAUGACUCAACAAAGCAGUGCAUGAGGAGUUUAUCUGAAAGAGAAUGUGGCUAGCAGGAAUACAACUAUCAGGGAGGCCCUGGGUUAGUAAUUACAAAUGCGUCAAUAAUCCUUGAUAUUCCUGGAAUUGCUUUAUAGACACUCAAAUAAUUAAAAAAAAAAAAAACUAGACUCAUCCUGCUCUGAUUACUUCUCUACACUGUCUUGGAGGGGCAGGAGGAGAGUUGCCCAAAACUUCCCAUAUUCUGGACCCACUGUUCCUGGCCAUUGAUUUCCAGAACAAGAGCCGGAGAGAAGUGUUGAUGAGUGUAGUUUGGUCUCAUGCACAAUGGCUCCAAAGUAACAUAUGUCAUAAAAUAAACUUUUACUCCUAUAAUUCAUAGCCUUUGCAAUUAUCAGCUCAAAUCUCAUUUCUAACAUCUCAACUCCAACAUGCUUUGGAGACAAACCACUUGUGUUCACAUCUUGACUGACCACUUACUAUAUGACAUGGAAAAAAAAAAAAAAAGGUGGACAUCAGUUUCCUCAUCUGUAAAAAUGAAUAUAAUUGUGGUGUAUAUUUUAUCUGGUCAUGAUGGGAUCUAAAAGGCUUCAUAUUAAGUGCUUAGAAUCGUGAUGCUACAUAGGAAGUGGUGCAUACUUACUUGUUAAAUGAACAAAAAGAAAUAUAUUUUUCCUGAGGAUUAAAUGAUAAAAUCUACAUCAAACUCUUAACCUGGUGGCUAGUACUGCAAAUGCUAAGUCAUUGCUACUUAUUUGGUCACUCCAAAAAACAAUGGAACAGAGGUAACAACAUUAAUCCAGUCCCCACACAAAUAUAGGUAAACUUGCCACUGGGGAGUGCUAUGCAGAAAUGACACAUGUUUCUAUGAGGCACAUACUGGGUGGGGGCAGGGGGGACUUUGAUUUAAUGCAUGUGUGUUGGGCAGUCAAGGGUAUUGGGAGACUGUCAAGGAUCCUUCCAUAAGCAACCACCAGUGGAGCUGAGACCCCCAAAAUGAAAAGGAAUGAAUCAGCCAAGAGAACAGGGAACAUGUCCCAAGGAGAGAGCAGAGCUGGUGCAGGGACCCUGAGCAAGAGGGCCAAGCACAGCUUACAGGGAAGGCAAAAGGAGCAUAUCCUGUACUGAGCCUGGAGCCAGAGGCAGGGUCCCCAUCACCCAAGGCUGUUUAAGCCACAUUAAGACUUUUUUAAACUUGAUCUUAAAAGCAACUGGGAUUCAUACUUGGAGGACUUUUAAAAAUGGAUUUCUGAGUGGGCCAGAGUUUGUGAUUUCAUCUGUUUAGGUUUGGGUGUGAGAAUUAGCAUUUCUAACAAGAUCCCAGGAGAUGCUACUGCUGCCACUGCCAGUGUGGAGAAAACACUUUGAGAACCACUGGCCUGCUGCAUUGUGAUCAACUGAAAGGGUCAAAAGUGGGUGCCAGGUGCACCACUUCAAAAGCAAUGUCAAUAGUCCAUACAAGAGAUGAUACACAUUUUAACAAUGGAAAUGGGGAGAAGUCAGCUAAUCUAAGGAAUAUCGAGGAGGCAAAACUGGCAGGUGUGGUGCUGGCUUGGGAUAUGGAUUUGAAGGAAAGGGGAAUGUCAAGGAGAAUCCAAUGGGUUAAAUGAAGAAACUCUCAUUUUCAGCGUCAGAAACACAUAGUAAUAUAUUAGCCAAAAAUGAGGGAUCUUUUUAUUUUUAGGGGUUUGUUAUUGUUUUUGUUUUUUUAAGUCUUCCUUGACUCUUGUUGGCUAGCUGCUCUUAUCUAAAACUUGACAAUCAUAGGAAGCCCUGAUGCUGACAGCCAUAUUUUGAAAGACUGCCUAAGAGGAAGCCAGAAAGCAAAUACUGGGAAAAUUGCCAGAGUCACACCCAGUCCUGUCUAUAGAGUCCCCUAUGGUUAGGUGGCACAUGGGCCAAGUUAUACUUGGGCUCAGUUUCAGAUCUGAUUGUUCUAGCUGCAGCCAGAGCCAAGAAUUAGAGCCUCUAAAGUGAAUCAAGACAGUGAUUAAGAACUAGCGAUUAUCAGUAGAGAGAAGAGAGCAGAUAAAAGAUCCAACUAAAAAAGAUUAAUCCCUGAAUUGAAAACAAAACUUCAAAGAGACUGAAUAUAGAAACUGCCUAAGAUAAAGAAGAGUGCAGUACAGGAGAAGUGGUAGUUGGCAGCUUGCAUGCCAAAGGAAACAAAUGACAGGCAAAAAUUAAAGCAGAAAAAAUAUUGAAAGACAGCAAGAUUUUUGAGCAUUUAGAGUCACUACCCCUAAAGAUGAAAUCAUGUAGAAAUGUCAGGGAAUUGCUAGUUAUGCCAGAGUGCAUUCUGAGGAAUAUUCAGGAAAGGGAUUGAUGACCAAAGUUGGCAUAUUUUGGCAGCAGCUUCCCAGGUGUUUGGAGGAAGUAAAACAGAGGCCUGUGACUGGAAAUACAGAGAUUAUAUCCAAAGGUCUUUGAGAAAAAGUUCACAAAUGCAAACUUGAUAGCAUUCUAUAAAUCAACUAGUGUCUUUGUGCCAAAAAGUAAAUGGUAUUUUUCCCAAAGGCAGGAGCAUUUGGCUCAGGAGAAUGGUGGGAACUAAGAGCAGGAAUGCAUAGGAGAAAGGUUUAGUGGAAUGUGAUGUGUCAAGAGAAUCUUUGAAAGUGAAGCAAUGAAUAUAUUAAGUUUUGCAGUACUUCAAGGCAGAAUACAAUCUGGUGUAUAGAAAGUAGAAGGCUUAUAUUUCUAUUAUUCUUAUAAAGGAUCUUAGCAUCAAACUUGUAGGGAGGAAUAAAAGCAAAACAAAACACUACCAAUAAUAAACAGCCCCAAAAAAGGGCAAUUUAAAUUAUGAACAGUCAGUGUAGUAUUCAGAAGAUUUUUGCAGAAUCCCGGAUACUUAAUGACACUAAACACCAUAAUGAUCACAUGGGGAAUAAUUGUUCUCUAAGCCUGCCGAAACAGAUCACUAAUGGUUAAGUUAGACAUUGCCUUCCACCAAAUUUAUCUAAACUCUGGAUGGAGUCUAUAGCUUAAUGUAAAGUGAAUAAAUUUCUGUUUGCUGUUUUGAGAACUUCUAUGUAUUUUUUUAACUUGAAAUUUAUUUACUGAAGUAUAAAUGAUUUACAGUGUGUCAGAUAUAUAGCAAAAUGAUUCAGUUAUACAUAUAUGUAUUUAUUCUUUUUCAGAUUCUUUUCCACCAGAAGUUACUAUAAGAUUUGAAUAUAUAUAGUUUUAAAAUCCAGAUAAUUAUAGAUAAUUUUGAAAGAGUCAAGUUAUGUACUUCAUCUAAUGCAGGAAUUUGAAAAAGGAGGAAGAGAUAAUUAAUUGGGAUUUGUCUUUUCAUUGGUGGGAAUUUUUUGGCUUUGUUAGGGUUGUUUUGUUUUUGUUGUUAAUUUGAAUUUUUUGUUUGUUUCAAGCAGUAAAAUCAAUAAGCAAUGUAAGCAAAAAGGAAAUUAUUGCAGGCUUCUGGAGUAGCCCUUGGAACUCAAGGAAAUAUCUGAAGCUAAGUCCAGGCAGGUGGGGUUCUGAGUAGCUCCUUCAACCCAGGUAGCAGAGAUUAUAUAAUUGUCUUCUCAGGGAACCCUGCUGUGAUUAAUCAGCUCCAGCAUUUUUCCUUCUUAGUCCUUACACUCAGGUUUUAAAGUCCCAGAGAGAAUUAUCUGGUUACCCUGCUCAACAAUGGUUGGGGAAAAGGGAAAUACAUUCUCUGUGGUCCCAAAUAUUGCACACAGGAGAGGAGAGAUAAUGUCCAGAUAGGAAAUUGAGACGCUAUUAUCAGAAGUAGGGAGUGAUUGACAGGCAGUAAAACCUAGCAAAUAUCUGCUGCAGAAUCCUCUGAGUACAAUAUGCUUAUAGAGCAACUUUGUGUAAAAAGGCUGAUACCAUGACAUAUUGUAGGACCCUGCUUAUAUUCAUUAAAAUUUGUUUUCUUAUGUAUUUUGUCCAGACAUUUUUUGUACUUGGAGGAGAUUGUGUGUCUGUGUGGUUAGAAAUGGUAAGAAUUUGCAUAGAAUAAGAUUCCUUCUGAUAGUUUCAACUCUGAUGAGAGCUCUGAUUCUUGACUAUUUAACAAGGAAUAGCAAUAGUUUAAAAAUUAUAAUUUUAAUUCACCUAUCAAUCUGUCAGUGAUUCAUUUCUGGUCUUUGGGGUUGAUCUGAGUUGCUCUCAACAUCCCCAAGUAGAUCCAAAAUUCUAUUCAAAUGGUUUAUGAUUUUAUGCAGUUUUACUGAGGGUUAAAAAGUCUUGCCUUGUCAGGAAUGUUUGUGCAUGUGCACAACAUACAGGGAGUAAGUGUACCACACAGUGAUUGUCAAACAUGUUGACCCAGUGGAGUUCCCCUUGUGGCUCAGUGGUAAUGAAUCCAACUAGUAUCCAGGAGGAUGCUGGUUCAAUCCCUGGCCUCACUUGGUGUGUUAAAGAUCCAGUGUUGCCGUGAGCUGUGGUGUAGGUCACAGACAUGGCUUGGAUCUGGCAUUGCUGUGGUUGUGGCAUAGGCUGGUGGCUACAGUUCCGAUUUGACCCCUAGCCUGGGAACUUGCAUAUGCAGUGGGUAUGGCCCUAAUAAAAAA
rnacentral:lncRNA from 9 species